GACGAACGCUGGCGGCGUGCUUAACACAUGCAAGUCGAACGGAAAGGCCCUGCUUUUGUGGGGUGCUCGAGUGGCGAACGGGUGAGUAACACGUGAGUAACCUGCCCUUGACUUUGGGAUAACUUCAGGAAACUGGGGCUAAUACCGGAUAGGAGCUCCUGCUGCAUGGUGGGGGUUGGAAAGUUUCGGCGGUUGGGGAUGGACUCGCGGCUUAUCAGCUUGUUGGUGGGGUAGUGGCUUACCAAGGCUUUGACGGGUAGCCGGCCUGAGAGGGUGACCGGCCACAUUGGGACUGAGAUACGGCCCAGACUCCUACGGGAGGCAGCAGUGGGGAAUAUUGCACAAUGGGCGGAAGCCUGAUGCAGCAACGCCGCGUGCGGGAUGACGGCCUUCGGGUUUUAAACCGCUUUCGCCUGUGACGAAGCGUGAGUGACGGUAAUGGGUAAAGAAGCACCGGCUAACUACGUG
rnacentral:rRNA from 1 species